rnacentral:rRNA from 11 species
AAAUUGAAGAGUUUGAUCAUGGCUCAGAUUGAACGCUGGCGGCAGGCCUAACACAUGCAAGUCGAACGGUAACAGGAAGCAGCUUGCUGCUUUGCUGACGAGUGGCGGACGGGUGAGUAAUGUCUGGGAAACUGCCUGAUGGAGGGGGAUAACUACUGGAAACGGUGGCUAAUACCGCAUAACGUCGCAAGACCAAAGAGGGGGACCUUCGGGCCUCUUGCCAUCAGAUGUGCCCAGAUGGGAUUAGCUUGUUGGUGAGGUAACGGCUCACCAAGGCGACGAUCCCUAGCUGGUCUGAGAGGAUGACCAGCCACACUGGAACUGAGACACGGUCCAGACUCCUACGGGAGGCAGCAGUGGGGAAUAUUGCACAAUGGGCGCAAGCCUGAUGCAGCCAUGCCGCGUGUAUGAAGAAGGCCUUCGGGUUGUAAAGUACUUUCAGCGGGGAGGAAGGUGUUGUGGUUAAUAACCGCAGCAAUUGACGUUACCCGCAGAAGAAGCACCGGCUAACUCCGUGCCAGCAGCCGCGGUAAUACGGAGGGUGCAAGCGUUAAUCGGAAUUACUGGGCGUAAAGCGCACGCAGGCGGUCUGUCAAGUCGGAUGUGAAAUCCCCGGGCUCAACCUGGGAACUGCAUUCGAAACUGGCAGGCUUGAGUCUUGUAGAGGGGGGUAGAAUUCCAGGUGUAGCGGUGAAAUGCGUAGAGAUCUGGAGGAAUACCGGUGGCGAAGGCGGCCCCCUGGACAAAGACUGACGCUCAGGUGCGAAAGCGUGGGGAGCAAACAGGAUUAGAUACCCUGGUAGUCCACGCCGUAAACGAUGUCUACUUGGAGGUUGUGCCCUUGAGGCGUGGCUUCCGGAGCUAACGCGUUAAGUAGACCGCCUGGGGAGUACGGCCGCAAGGUUAAAACUCAAAUGAAUUGACGGGGGCCCGCACAAGCGGUGGAGCAUGUGGUUUAAUUCGAUGCAACGCGAAGAACCUUACCUGGUCUUGACAUCCACAGAAGAAUCCAGAGAUGGAUUUGUGCCUUCGGGAACUGUGAGACAGGUGCUGCAUGGCUGUCGUCAGCUCGUGUUGUGAAAUGUUGGGUUAAGUCCCGCAACGAGCGCAACCCUUAUCCUUUGUUGCCAGCGAUUAGGUCGGGAACUCAAAGGAGACUGCCAGUGAUAAACUGGAGGAAGGUGGGGAUGACGUCAAGUCAUCAUGGCCCUUACGACCAGGGCUACACACGUGCUACAAUGGCGCAUACAAAGAGAAGCGACCUCGCGAGAGCAAGCGGACCUCAUAAAGUGCGUCGUAGUCCGGAUUGGAGUCUGCAACUCGACUCCAUGAAGUCGGAAUCGCUAGUAAUCGUGGAUCAGAAUGCCACGGUGAAUACGUUCCCGGGCCUUGUACACACCGCCCGUCACACCAUGGGAGUGGGUUGCAAAAGAAGUAGGUAGCUUAACCUUCGGGAGGGCGCUUACCACUUUGUGAUUCAUGACUGGGGUGAAGUCGUAACAAGGUAACCGUAGGGGAACCUGCGGUUGGAUCACCUCCUUA